UUUUUUUUUUUUUUGUUGAUUUUCCUUCUCCAGAAACCCUUAAUGAUAGACAUGAGAGAAGCAUAUUGUUAAAGAUUCAUAAUCUAGCCCAUAACUGGCCAGGUGCACUAGCUAGUGUCAACGAUGUUCAUAUACAUAUGUACAUUACAAGUCGAAUUAGGCAUAGUAUCACACCUCUAAUUGAUUCGAGUAUCAAAGGAGGUCUAAAAAUAUCAAAACAAAAUCAAAAGCAUUAAACUACACCGGUAAUGGCGGCUAUCUCUCAAGAAAGGAAUGAAACUAUCCAGCAUACUGAUCAUGCUGCAUUUGACCAAGCAACAACUGGGCUUAAUAAUGCAACCAAGUACUAUAUACUUAUUGGUUUGCGCAAGUUUACAUAGCAGCACGCCACUACAAAAGAAACGCAAAACAAAAUAGCUAGCAUGCAAUGUAUGUUUAGAUAAGGAAAUAAGAAGGCAAAAGGACUUAUGCAGCCUCGGUCUUCGUUGGGUGAUGAGCAAAUAGGCAAUAACUCCCUUUUGCCAACCUGCAAAGUAUUUGAAGGAAUGGACUGAGUAUUCACCUAAGAUGCUUUAGUAAAGUUUUUAAAGGAAUCACUAGUGGAGAAUUGGCCUUUAGUCCCGGUUGGUAGGGUGCAAUUCUCCCGAAAAUCCAUCCGGGAUAAACCAACCGGGACAAAAGACUUUUGUCCCAGAUCACUCAACCGGGACUAAAGACCUCCUUUUAUCCCGGUUGGUAAUACCAACCAGGAUAAAACGGGUCACCACGGCAGGUGCUGCAAAAAAAAAAGAAAUCCUAGGCUCCCAGGAGGCCCCCCACAAGUCACAAGUCACGCGAUUUUUCACGCGAAAUAUGCGCGCGUGCGCUGUGGGAUUCGAACCGACAACCUCCAGCCUCACGCGUAGCUUCCUUGCCAUCCCACCUACACACCACAUCUAACUAUACAGGGGAUGCUAUCCUUUUUGUAUUAACUCGUGGGGGACCCUUUUAUCCCGGUUGGAAACACCAACCGGGAUAAAAGACCCCCCUUUAUCCCGGUUGGUAUUACAAACCCCUGUAAUACCAACCGGGAUAAAAGGGUUCGAGGGAUUUAGUCCUCUUUCAGUCACCUCGUUGAGGAUCCUUUUAUCCCGGUUUGAAACACCAACCGGGAUAAAAGGGGGGGCUUUUAUCCCCGUUGGUGUUUCAAAUCGGGAUAAAAGGCCUCUCAGGGUCUUUUUUUCCCACUAGCCUUUGCAACCGGGAUAAAAGGUCCCGGUUGGUGAGCCCCCACCAGUGAUCGAGCUUUAGUCCCGGUUGGUGAACCUUUUGUCCCGGGCUAACUUUAAACCGGGAUAAAAGGGGGCACAUCGAAAGUCAAUUCUCUGCUUAGUGAAUUAGGUCCAGCAUUUGUUUCUAUAAAACAAAAAAGUAACAAAGCUAUUUUUAGGUUGGCUUCUACUUUCUGUAGCAGCUUCAGAUAUUUAACAAAUGAAAUCAAAAUAUUCUGAGUAAAUAAUAAUUAAUUGCAUCAUUUCUUUUUUCUUCCCAGUAUCCAUUAUUAAAGAUAAGUAAAGACUAUCUUUGAGUGUUUGACCAAGAUACAUGUAAACAAAAACGAAAGUCAAACCUGCCAAUCAACUGUCACCUCGUUGAUAGAUUCCAUGUCAACAGCUUGAUUGGACAGAUUAAUGAUCCCCUAAAAAUUGAUCAAGCCCCUCAAAGUGCGGGGGAAUUCAGGAAACAGCACUUAUUUCAUGCGGUGUCCAGGAAACAGCACCGGGAACUCACAUAUUCAUGAAACAGCACCGCAAGCGCACAUAAGAUUCACAACAGCACUGCUAGCUCUUAUUUCUCCCUGUUUUAAUUUUCUCCCAACGACUUCAUCACAUGCAAAAGACCAACUUGCCCCUCAUGUUUGUGGACCGUUCCCAGUGUAGUAAUUCCUUUUUUUCCUCCCUUGAUUGGCUCACAUGUCAUCUAACUUGUAAUGUAGAUUAACUGAGUCUAUUUUGAGACCAAAUGUAUAUGUUAUCCUAUUUAUUAGCUCAUGUUAUUUAUUUCCGUAAUAACAUCAUAAGCCAUAAUAUAAAUUCGUCAAGCAACUUGUAAUUAGAUUAACUGAGUCUAUUCUGAGCCCAAAAUGUAUAUGUAUCAUAUUUAUUGGCUCCUGUUAUUUAUUUCCGUAAAUCAUCAUGAGCCAUACUUUUAGAUAUUGUUAUUAGCUUUUGGUAUGGUGAAAUUUGUUAUUUUUGCUAUUUGAUUUGAAUGGGAGUAGUAGAAAGGGAAGCUGGUGUAUGUGUCCAGCAUGGGUAAUUUGGUCUAUUUGUAUGUGAAGAAAUGAACAAAAAUUAAAUAGAAGUGUGGGUUAAGUUAGUGUAGUGCUAUUCUAUGGAUCCAUUCUUGAUAAACAGUGCUAUUUGGCGAAUUUUCAUAGAUUUGGAGUUCUAUUUUCUGGACACCGCAUGAAACUAGUGAUGUCCCCCCUCAAAGUGCAACUCUAACAUGUGUCUUUAACCCAUCGACACUUUGUCAGGAACAAACUUUGCAUUUCUUAUAGCAUCUAUAGUAGAAUAUCUAAAAUUGAAGACCUAAAAUAAGUUUUGGGUUUAGGAGAGAGAAGAUUUCCAGAAUUUUUUUUGCUCUUCUCCAACGCAUACCCAGAAAGCUUCCUAAAAUACCGUUUAGCUUUUUGUAAAAAGACCAACUAAAAAUUACAUGUUUCUACACUGACUUUCUUUUUUGCAAAAUCUCAUGGCAUCAAAUCAAAAUGCCCCUAAAUCUAUAGCACACUGUGGCAUUGUCGCCACCCAUCUCCAGCCCCACCUCUUUCUGCACCACCACCCCUCUCCUACAUCCUCCUUUACCUUGGUCCGCAUCCCAAUCGAGGGCGCGAGGAGCACGAAACCAUUAUCGUUAGUCGCGGCGAGGAGGAGGUGCCAUCCACGCGGAGCUUGUGAGCAGCCGAACAACAGCUGGCAAUAGCACGUGAGUAUUACGAUUUGUGAAAGGGACACUACCUCACCUAAUGGUCUCAUGUUUCGCCAAAGGUCUCGUAUUCGUACACCAAAAGGUCACUUCAUCAAAAGAGAUCAUGUCCAUUUACCAAGUACUCUAAAGAGAAAGAUGGUGUUUGGUUCGGCUAAAUGUAACGCAAUCGGAUUAUGGAUGCAAAUGAAUCAUGUUAAAGUUCUUUGUUUUCGCCCAUUCGGUAAACGCCGCAAUCAAAUCCCACCACUAUACAAGUCUGUUACCAUCCCUUCCUCUUCGUAAUCAGAAAACAUAUUAUCUGAUUACAUUACCUACAUUACCGUAGUUGAACCAAAUAAAAAGUGUAAUCGCACGUUCUAUAGUUGAAAGCACAGCAAUCCUAUUCCAUUUUCAUUUAUGUUACCAUUCUACGAACCAAACACCAUCAAUGUAUCAUCUCUACUAAUCCGAUGAAUAGUGCUACCAAUGUCAAUGACACUGGUCCCACUCUAGGGGACUGGGGGUAUAACAUCUUCUGUAGACAUUUUCUUAUUGCAAAGAAAUGUUGUCGUCAUAUGAGAAGAAAAAUGUGCUUCUUAUCUUAAUUUUAGAUGGUUGCAUGUCUUCUAUGUGUAGCACUUUUAAUAUGCUAUUUCAAAUUAUGAAUUUCGUUAUGAAUUAUUUAUCUCGAUUAUGGAUUAAAACAAACCGAAACUUCCCAAUUUUUCCAACAAUUACAGGUAGGUAAAACUGAUGCGUAGAACGUCCUAGAUAUGUAAAUGCCAAGUAACGCAACCCAACACAUGAGCUCUAUCGGAUCAGUUGCUCUGGAGGACCCUCUGAAGUUGAGCUCCCAGCGCCGGGAGCGUGACGGGCUUCUCGAUGAGCCCGUUCACCCCAGCCCGCCGGCACAUGUCGCGCACGCGGUCGUCGAUGCCGCUCGCCGCCACGGCGACGAGGACCAGCAGCCAGCAGGCGUUGCUGAGCUCCCGGAUCCUGAGGGCCACCUCGAACCCAUCCAUCGCGGCGGUCGUGCCGGCGGCGUCGAGGUCGAGGACCACCAGCUGGAACGGCGGCUCGGCACUCGCCAGCUAGCUCAGGCAGUCGGCGGCCGACGCCACCGGCACCACCUAGCAGCCGAGCCGCUCGAGGAGCUUCCGGGUGACCUCCGCGCUCACGGCGUCGCCGUCCGCGAGCAGGACCCUCAGGCCGCUGAAGUGGUGGUGCUGUGGAAGUGUCCUCGGCGAGGCUCCGAUCCGGUACGUGCCUGAACCGGGCACGUGCGGAUUGAGUGGCGGCUGCAGCUGGAACCGCAGGAGGAGCGUCAUGGUUUCUCCGAGGCCUUCUUCGGACUCCGGUGCCCACCACAUGUUUCCGUUCAUCACCUGAACAAAUUUAGAGUCAAUUCAUACAUGAUAGAUUUAUAUAUAUACAACUCAUAAUUUGCAUAGAAAUUGGUUGAUUUGUCCACAUAUAAAUCAUAAAUGUGAUGAAACAAAAUCACAUAUAAGUACCUGUGCAAUCCUUUUGCACACAGCGGCGCUUAACCGCACGUCGUCACCGGAAUCAGGAGCAUGGCCGGAUGGUGGCGGCCAGGAUGCAGGCAAACUCCCAUGAUCACUCUCCACUGAUCUUGUGAUCAGCCCAACUUGGAACUUGACAAACACUUGGUUGCCACCAGCAGAGAUUUUGGCUCGCUCUCGCACUGGGAUCCGGUCCUGAUCGUCACCGGCGAUGCUAUUGCAGCUGCAGACCGAAAACGACAGGACACCGCCUGCGGCAAGGCGGCGGCGGCAUCGGCUCAGCACAGCGCCCACCAUGUGCAGCAGGAGAUGGAAGACCCUCUUUUCGUCGCCGACCACCCAUUCGGGAACAGCGCCGCCGCUGCCCUCCAGCUGGUGCGAGAAGCCGAGGCCCCGGCAUCUGGCCAAGCAUCCGGCAACGCUGGCCGCGUCCCUGACCAGCGACUGGAGCUCGAACGGCCUCCUUGCCGCCAGGGUAGGCGGGUCAUGGCUGUCCUUCGUCGACAACGUUGCCAUGGCGGUGUCCGCCAGGGUGGAGGAGAGGAGGGCGCUUGUCCGGGCGACGGCGUCGAGGUCGAGCCUCUGCUCGGGGCGCAGCACGGCGGCGGCGGCCUCCUGCUGCAUCACGGAGAGCAGGCCGACGACGGCGUGCGCCGGCCUCGCCACAGCGUCGCGCACCGCGGCGUGCGCGGCGUCCCUCGCCCUGGUCGCCGCCUCGAGCUCGCUCCUCGCGUGCAGCAGCACCCCGUGCUGCUCCGCCAGCCUCUGCCGGAUCAGCUGCGACUCCUCUAGCGCCACCGCGUGGGAGAGCGCGGCGGCCACCGGGUCGGCGACGGCCUGCACGAUCUCCAGAUCCUGGCUGCUCCAUCCUGGAGGUGAUGAUCUGUGAUCAUCGUCAGCUCGACGAACCAGAACUAAGAUUGCGUAGCUCUCCGGCUCUGAUGCGUUGCCCCCUCCGUGGAAAUUUGGGAUCCGUAUGGCCGCCGCGGCGGAUGCCAGCGGCAGGCCACCGCCGCUCGCCGUCGCAAGCACGGAGCUUGGCCUGAGCGCCAUGGCGUCCCUGCUGGCCAGUGCGGCGGCCACGUCCGGGUGACGGACGGAGAUGGCGCGCGUGCCUCCGUCGAGCGCCUUGUCGUCUUCGUCCGGCAGCAGCAGCUGGUGGGUGAGCUGCAGCAUGCCGCCACCGUGGUGAGGCGCGGCCGCGACGGGCACCCAGACGGCGCAGUUGUGGAGGCCGAGGGUGGCGGCUUGCUGGAGCAUGGUGGUACGGAGGAUGGCUCGCGGCGCGCCGGCGGAGUCGCGGGCGAGGCGGGUGACGGCUCGGACGACGCGCCACACGGCCUCCUCGCGGCGGCGGACGGCGGCGAGGUCGCGGUCGAGCUUGCGCGCCUUGGCGCGGAGGAGGGACACGCGGGCCUCGAUGCGGAGCAGGCGCGGGAAGAAGACGGGGAGGGAGGCCGCGGCGGCGGUGGUGGCGAGCGCGCCGAGGGCCUUGGCGGAGGUGAGCGCGGCGAGGACGCGGCAGGAGCCCGGACGGUCGUAGGAGAGCGCGUUGAGCAGGUAGGUGACGCCGCACGCGACGAUGAAGGCGCCGAGCUGGAGGAGCGCCCGCCGGAGCGGCGCCAGCGCGGCGCAGGUGGCGAAGUAGAGGAGCUCCAGCGGGAUGGACAGGAGCGACGCCGCGAUGAGGAGGUCGCUCACCUUCUGCCACUGCAGCAGCGCCUCCACCGCCGCGUCCUCGCGCCCGUCGCAACCGCCGCAGCGCCGCGCCGUCCGCACCAGCACCGCGUCCGCCGCCAUUCCGUCCCCUGCCAUCCACUCGCUCAUUCGGGCAUGCGUGAAGGUAUUCCUCGGCAUGCAGGUAGAUGCGACUGCGAGGAAGACAAGUAGUCUUUCUUUGCAUGCAGCUGACAACGCGAAGUAAUGGCAGCCAGGUUCUGUUUGGCUUCAGUUUUUGUCCGGGCGCCGAGGCAAUUCCAUCCAUGCAGGCCUAGCAACUCCGCUCCAAAUUUUUUUGGAUUGCUGAACGAGAUCAAUGGCAAUAGUAAUUUGAGAUGGAGGGAGUAACAUGAAUAGUUUUAUGAUUUGAGGUUGAAAAUUAGGCUCAUAUUUUAGCUCACGGCAGUGUGUUCUCUUCAUAAUUUCAUUAUGUUUCCUAAGCAUUUCUCAAGGUAAUAAGUUCUUGUCGCAUAUACGAUUGGAGACGGUGUUCGUGACCUAACGUGAGAGAGGACAUAGUAGCCUAUCACGUUGAAGAUCUAUUGGUAUGUCCACCGCUGCCUACUCUGGCUGCUUCCCGCGCCGCCAAAGGAGAAUGCAGUGGGCAAUUUUAAAUUUUAAAAAAUGAGAAGAAGAGGCCAAAGGCCCAGAUGAUUACAACUCUACAGGUCGAUCACAGCCCAACUAAAGCCUGGCCCAAGCCUGCUUCCGCAUCCAUUCCUCUUCCGUCUCGUCUCUAGCCUCUCCGGUGCGCCCUCGGAGCGGUUUGUUCACGCCGGCGAACUCCUCGAGCCGCCGCUCCCCUUCCCCCGGCGCGGGUCCGCCUCUGCGGAUUCUUCAGCGCCGCAACCGAUCCUGGGUUUCCCGCGCAGCAGCCGCCGGCGACGACCCCCUGCCUGGCCCGCGCCGUCUUCGGCUUCGCGCGCGGCGGCUAAUUCUGCAAUACGCCUCGCAUUGAUCUCGGGGAGGAGGUACACGGCUCUUCCCUUCCCAGCGCAUCUCCGGUUAUAUUAGCAAAAUCGGUGAACUAGAAAUUGUCGUGUCCUAUAUGGAUGGCGAAAGGAAAUGCGAAUAUGCCUGUUCGUAGUGGUAAUCAACUAAUCAUGUCCAUGACAGUCGCUCGAUAUAAUUAAAUAAUUUAACUGGAACAGCAAUUACAACAUUAGGAUCUUAUAGGGAACAAGGUCGAUCCUUUUGUGAAACCCCGUCCUAGAUAGAAUAUAGCAAAGAAGUUGCUGAGAUACCAGCUUCCAACACCUUCUGUUGUGUUUAUUGGUUGCCUGGUUUCCCCAAUAGCAAGGUCCAGCGGAUGCAGUCGUUUACCGUCUGAUUAGAUUUAGCAAGGUGCCAUGUGGUUGUCAUGUAGUAAUAGCGAGACAUUGGAAUACCUCAGCUCAAUUGUGUUUCUUCCCUGCAUAGAUGUUUCUGAAGUCUGUCUCUGAUGCCCUGUAACUCUUUAACAGCAUCAGUGAUUUCCAUGCGGUCUGUCGGUAUCUCCUCUGAACAUUGGACCCCAACUUGUAGAAUUGAAAUGAUGCAAGAAAUUUUCAUGUCUGCAACUCUUGUGGAGUUUGAGGCGCUCCCUUCACCAUCUUUUAUCUCCUGUAACAAGUGUUUGUCCACCACAGUAGCCACCCUGUCUGGCAGUGCCAUUUCUACAUAUUUGUGAAGGCCAAGGCCUUCUCCAAAUUCACUGUCUGUUGGUCUUUUUCCAGUGAAUAACUCCAACAAUAGUAUCCCGUAGCUAUACACAUCGCCAUGAGUUGAGGCUUCAUUACCAAGGCCAUACUCUGCAAUGAACAAAGGAGCACGACUUAUAUAUGUGUAUAUACAUAUUACUGUUCAAAAUCCAUUUGAUAACAUAACAUUUAAAGAGUGGGAAGCUUUUACAUGUUCUAGCUAUUUUCCAUUCUAUUAUAAGGAAAAUGAGUAUUUAUGAAGACAGUCUUAUUUAAGUAAGAGAAACAUAAACAAAAAGGUAUGCUUAAAAUUAGAUUUUUUACAGCAUAAAUUAUAGUUAUAGCUGCCAUGGUUGAAUAUAUUAUAAGAGGACAAUGAACUAUAGAAAAUAGAGCACACCUGGGGCCACAUAACCAAUUGUUCCUCUCAUUGAUGCCCAACCACUUGAUUUGUCUGCAUCCUGAUGUAGAAACCUUGCAAGUCCGAAAUCCCCAACAUGAGCAACCAUGCCACUGUCAAGGAGAACAUUGCUUGGCUUAAGAUCACAGUGAAUGAUUGGCAAAGGCUUGCUUUGAUGAAGAUAUUCCAGUGCUGAUGCCACAUCAAUUGCAAUUUGCGCUCUCAAGCUGAUAUCUGUGGCCUUAUGUUCACCAUCCUCAAUGGGAUGUUGGUGUACCCAGCGGUCUAAAUUUCCAUUUGGUAGGAACUCGUAUACAAGGGCCUUGAAGUUACCACCAUGGAAAUCAAUACUUGAGCACACUGUCAAUAUCUUCACUAGAUUCCUAUGCCGAAUACACCUCAGAGUCUCACAUUCCGCGAAAAAACUUUGAGAGGCGCCACGUUGUGUUAGGUUGAGCACCUUCACAGCAACAAGAAGUUGCUGCCCAUUGCUUGUCAUACUUCCCUUGUAGACUGAGCCAAAGCUUCCUGCUCCGAUUAGAUUCUCAGAAGCAAAACUGUUUGUUGCACUGGCCAAUUCAGCAUAAGAAAUUCUCAUAUGCGGCUCGCUGAUAAGUGGUAUUUGUGCCUUUGACUUUUCCUUCUUGGUAUGGUAGUGGUGUACCAACACUGUAGUUACUAAUAUGAUAAAUAGAAUCACACUGCAAGUGGAUAUUGUUAUGGCAAGCUCCCAUGUUGGCUUCUUUUUAUUUGUAGAGUGGCUCAAGCAGGGUGGCAACUUCAGUUGAGGGAUUCCAUUACAUAGGCCAUCAUUUCCCACAAUCGAGACAGCCGAUGCAUUGCUAAAAAUUCCAUUUUUUGGAACAUCACCCUCCAGGUUGUUGAAUGAAAGAUUCAAACUGACAAGUCCACUCAUGCUCUCAAGGAACGUUGGGAUGCUCCCAGACAAGUUAUUAUGGGAAAGGUCAAGUACCUGGAGGCCUCUUAGUUGCUGAAGUGAUGGCGGAAUUUUUCCUUGAAUGAAGUUUCCAGAUGUAUUCAAAUGCUGCAAGCUGUGGCAUUCACCCAGGGAUGAUGGGAUCUCUCCAGAAAAUCUAUUAUCGGAUAAAUCAAGUAGUCUAAGAUUUUUUAGAUUUCCCACAUCGGAUGGUAGGGAUCCACUUAAAAAAUUGUGUUCUAAAUGCAGGGAAUCAGACAUGGUAGAUAUGAAGAAAAGUUCUUUCGGUAUUGACCCUGUAAGGCCGUUGUAUGACAAAUCCAAUACUUGCAAAGGACAACUACUUAGACUAGGGGGUAUUUCUCCACUAAGUGCAUUGCCUCGAAGGCUUAAUAAAUUUAGCAUUUGAAGAUUGCUGAUACUUGAUGGAAUGGAUCCUGAAAGAUUAUUGAUUGAAAGGUACAAUCGAUUCAGCUUCUUGAGUUUCCCCAGUGAGUCAGGAAUAGGGCCGUCAAAAAGAUUGUUACCCAGAUUAAUGAAAUUCAAGCCGACCAGAUUCCCUAUCCCUUCAGGUAUGUUUCCUGUUAUACUGUUCAAAUUUACGCCAAAAUACCACAUACUUUUGGAAAGAUUGCCAACUGAAUUUGGUAGCUCACCUCUAAGCCUGUUGUCACCAACAUCCAAUAGCUGUAAACUGCUGCAGUUAGUCAGGCUAAACAUGAAACCCCAAUCACGGUCAUUUCUUGUUUCUAGCUGAUUCUCCGCAAAGGUCAGCACUGACAAGUUCUUCUGGUUGACACCUAAACAAUCAGGAAUAGUUCCUGAUAAAAGGUUGUCUACUGUUUGAAUCCACUGAAUCAUAGAGGCAUUGCACAGGGAGGGUGGGAUUGAGCCAUGAAAUUGAUUUUCACUUGCUAGGAAUAAUUGGAGUGCCGGAAGAGUGUUGCCCAAAUCAGGUGGAAAGGACCCAUUUAGGCGGUUGCCUUGUAGGUCAAGAACUUCAAGAGAGGACAUAUUGAAUAUUGAAGGUGGUAAAGGACCUUCUAGUUCAUUAUUAUAGUCUAUAUGAAGAUUCUGAAGGGAAUGAAGGUUUCCAAUAGAAUGAGGUAUGGUCCCUUGAAGAUUGUUAGUUGAUAGAGACAGAACUGUAAGCAUGCCAAGGUUUCCUAGUGCUUCUGGGAUGUUCCCUUCCAGGCUAUUUCUAUCAAGAUUUAAAGUAACUAAUGAUGAGAGGUUUCCUAACCAUGCCGGGAUUCUCCCUUUGAGGUUAUUUCUAUCUAGUUCAAACACAGUGAGGGAUGACAAGCCUUCGAGUGGGGGGAUGCUUCCCGUGAGGUUAUUUGUAGAGAAGCUAAAGAAGUUCAGUUCUGAAAGGUUUCCUAUUGAGGCAGGGAUGGGUCCUGAGAAUUGAUUGGAACCGAAGCCAAGCACGGUAAGAUUGGCAAGGUUGCCUAUCUCUGGCGAGAUUUCUCCUGUAAGAUUAUUAUAUUCUACGAUGAGCAUUUGCAGAUUCAGUAGGGUCCAAAUGCUGGAUGGGAUGCUUCCAGUGAGUCUAUUAAUUCCAACAGCGAGUACCUCAAGGUUGUGUAACGAGCCCAACUCUCUUGGUAUUUGUCCUCGAAAUUUGUUGCUGUAGAGCAACAUGUUCUUCAUUCUGCUGCAGUUUGAAAGCGACACCGGGAUCUGCCCUUCGAUGAAGUUGUAGCUGAGGCUCAAGUGCUUCAGCUCCUGCAGAUGACCAAGCUCUGGAGGCAGGACUCCAUGUAGGCGGUUCCUGCGGAGGCUAAGAUGUCUCAAGUACGAGAGGUUACCGAUUGAAGGUGAGAUGGUGCCGAGAAGGUUGAGCUCAGCAAGGUCCAGUGCAACAACAUGGCCACGACGGUGGCCGAGGACACCGCACGCCACACCGUGCCAUUGGCAGAUCGGAACGGACCGGUUUCCCCAUGACGCUAAAGCCUGCGAUGGAUCACUCUUUAUGAGGGACUUGAAUGCCAUGAGCGCGAGGUGGUCCGUACUGACCACCGCAGCGUUAGUUGUGGCAGUGGCGGUUGCAGGACCUGCCAUGGAAGCCGGCGUCAGAGCACCAGCAAAAGGUUGAAGGAUGACGAUGGCGAGUAGGAGAGACCGAAUGGAUACUACCAUUGCUCCCGGUGGUUUUUGAUCUGGAAAGCUGGUCACUGGUGUAUGUGAUUGUAUUUGUGUUAGGACAAGGGAACCGAAGCUCAGACCAUGAUUCAUUAGCAUAACUGACUAGACUCAGGAGGUGAGAUGAGAUGAGAGAUGUAGAGUUCCUCGCGGUCCCGGCUACAUAGAGUUGGAGGAAUCAACGGCUUGGACGCUUUUUGAAACGUAAGCAGAUUUUUUUUAAAGAAAACAGAAGGGGCUUCCCCUCUACUAGUACUUGUUAGACAUGUAACAAGUUAAACAAAUACUUGAGUUCAAAGAUUUUACCACAUGUUCAAAUUAAACAUGGUGGUUCUUAUUUAUUUUUGGAAAGAUCUUUUAAAGGUCAAGGAACACCUUUUGUGGUGUGGGACCAAAACCAUACACAAAAUCGGUCAGGCUCCAAACCUUUUCAAGAGCAAUUUCUAAACAUGUAUAAUAUAAUCAACUACCUUCACGCAACAAUGGCCAAUAUCUUGAAUAAUGUGCCAUGGAGUGUCGCGACUAAGAGUAGCUCACCUGGUUAGUUUUCUUGUGAAGUAUAAUUUCAGAAAUUAAGUGCAUUAUACUUUUAGCGUGGUAGGCAAUGUGCUGACCUAUUCUCUCAGAGGUGCUCGCAUAUGUAGAAUUGUGUGCAUCUCACCUGCUUAGUUUUCUUGUGAUGUAUAAUUCCAGAAAUUAAGUGCAUUAUACUUUUAGCGUGGUAGGCGAUUUGCUGACCUAUUCUCUCGGAGGUGCUCGCAUACGUAAAAUUGUGUGUGUUUAUAUGGGUAAGUGUGUGUAUGUAUGUAUAUAUGUGAGCAUUUACGGUUGUGUUUUGGGAGUUAAAAAUAAAUCAACGGGGAAGUCAAGGUCCUCCACUUCAAGGGCACUAAGCUAUAACGAGUCUAUUAUGCUGGUGGACUUCAUUCCCCGGUCUCCUCUCUACUGUCAUUAUCAAACAAUGGAACUUUUUUUUUCCAUAUUGCUAUGUGCUACGGCACUAGCUACUGGUACAAGUGGACUCAGCGACGGCACUAAGGGCAGCCCCAACAGCCGGUGAUGUCGCCAUCUGAUUCAGCUCUAGCUUUUCAGACAUGGAGGAGGCAAGGAGAACAGAGAGUACUCACCAGUGAUGAAAAUUGUUUACCAAUGACUUUGGUAAAUUUGGUUACAUCAACUUAAUGAUGCACAAAUCAGAAUUGUCAAAAAGCUUAAAGAAGGCAAACUAAAUAUAGCUUAGCGGGUAAGAUUGCUUGUAGUGGAACAUGCCCACCCGAGUUCAAGUCCUCGAAUCGACACAGGGGCUCGCAGUUUUCUGAAUUUAUUUUAGGAAUUAAUCCGUGCUAUUCUUUCAGUGGUGACCUCGUCAAUCUUGACAUCUAUCGGCUCGGCUCAGUCUCUCGGAGGUACUCAUAGGGGUAGAGUUGCGUGUGUAUUCAUAGGGGUGAGUGUACAUGCGUAUAUGUGAGCAUCUACGUAUGUGUCUGUACUGUAUUUUGACGAAAAAGAGAAAGGUUUAAAGAAGACAAAAAAAUCAGUUUUUGUGCAAUAAAAAUCAAUGACUUUAGUAAAUUUGGUUACUUAAUGAUGCACAAAUCAGAAUUUUUGAAGAGUCUAAAGAUGGCAACUACAUAAGCAAUCCUUCUACCAACUACAGAAACAUCUUCAAAGAUAUAACGAAACCAUUACUCGAUGCGUUCCACUGCAUUUGUACUUUUUGAACGGUGGCUUCCACUUGAUUCUAAAGCAUUUGUUCGCGGUAGUCUUUUUGACAUGUAGUUGGAGGAAUCAAUGGGUUGGAUUCUUUUUGACAUGUAAGCAUUUAAAUUAUGUGGACGGAACAGCUCUGUCAAUAAUCGUGGUAAUGCUACUGACAAGCUGUUGAGCUAUUGGAGCUACCGCAGGUGAGCUGGUGGGAACAGUGGGCUACCAUCUGAAUUGCUAUCCUCGUUUCGUUUUGACACUCUUCCCAUAUUUUGUUUUGGGACAUCCGACAUUACAAAACUUCAGAGGUUAAACUUCCUUAGGCUUUGACACUAAGCAUCUCCAAAAUAUACUCUUACAUACUUAUUGCUAACAUGUAAUUACGCAAACUGGUAGUCAUUGUACACGUGCGGGCCCUAGGCUCCCAGCGAAGUAGCACCUGCAGCCGGACUCCCUGAAACUCUGCUUGCCCGACGGCAGCCACCGCCGCGGCGAUGCCAUCGUCCCCAGCUCGGCGCCGAAGGUAAACUACUCUCCCCUCACCAUAGAGCAUUUGCGAAUUGCAAGAUGUAGGAAUGAAAGCGUUUAAAAUGCAGCGUUUUCAUGAGUCAAUUGCAAGAUGUGCAUAUCCUGUGAAAGCCUGAUUGAUGCAAGUGAGCAGGUUAAUUAUGUGGUUAAGAAGUGGGAGCUCGACCGAACUACAGUCCUAUGUGGCACAAGUUGAAGCCAUUUCGAGUACCAUGGAGCUGCAGAAAAUUCAGCAAUAUCUUAUUGGCCUUGGCUUUAGAGUUCUGAAGUUUAGAGUUGAAGAACGUCAUGCGACUAAGUCAGCAGUUUAAAAUCAAAUUAAACUAAACGGACUCGACUAAUAAGUAGCUGAGGCAUUACAUACUUGCACAUAUAUGUAUACAAAUGGAAAUAGCGUGAGAUUUGUGUAGAGGAGAGGAGUGCCUGCUAGCAUUGUUGGCCCCAAAAUCCCUAAAGACCGGGCCCGCGCGGGUCCCAAAGCAAUGUGCUGGCCUCACUUUCUCAUCACGCUGGCAUAUUUUGUCAUUAAAUUCCUUACCGUCGUGAAGGUCCAGCCCAAUUUCCUCGAGCUUCGUGAGAUACCUUAGCCCUGACAAUUCCUGUAGGUCGCUCCAACUCACAAUUAGUAGCAGCUCCAGUUUCGGCGUCGUUUCACCUUAUUCAAACUUGACAAAUAGGCUAUCUUACUAUUACUAAUUUGGAGGCUCCUUUAGAAGCCUCUAGGUAAAGUCACCUAGGAUUUCUAGGUGGAUACUCUAGAAAAAAAGAGAAAUCCUAGAAAUUCUCAUAAAAAGGCAAAACAUCCGACCAUCAAUCGAUAGAUUCAAAUCAUCAUAGCCAUUGGAUCUAUUAGAUUUUCAAAAAAUUACCCACCUAUGCCAUUAUGAAAAUAGCCUAAAGUAACCUCCUAAAUCUAUAUAUAAAUUACCCACAUCUGCCAUUAUAGCUAAAGUAACCUCCUAAUCUCCAUCAAAAUUAUCCACUUAUGUCAUUAUAAACAAUAUUUAAAAUAACUCCCUAAUUUGUAACCGAAUUGCCCACCACUAUUACUUAAAAACUUAAAGUAACCUGUUAAAUUUGCAUCUAUAUUACCCACAGAUGCCAAUAACAUGAUAACCCUACGUUUGAAUAACCUUAAUUAAAAAUAUACAACAAUAUAUGAUUCUAAAUAAAUCGUCUAUAUCUUGCACUAUUAGUAUAUGAUAUAAUAAUUAAGGUUUAUACGCAUGAUGUGUGUCACCAUUUAUAAAGAUAUAGAGGAAGUGAUGAGAACAUAUAUUUCUAUGUUAAAAUUGUAUCACAAACUUAGGGUUCAUUAAACAAAUUCAAGCGCAUACCUGCGAUGCAAAGUGAAAAGUUAAAGAUUAUAAAUGUGGAUGAAAAUAUUAUAGAGUAAUUACUAACUAAAAUCUAUCACAAUUGGAUGAAGAUAAUAAGUAUAUAUCUAUAUAAGUAUUGUGUUCGAAUAUUUAACAAAUGAGAGGUAGCUUAUAGUAAUAGUUUUUAGCAAUGUAGUUCUAUUUUUUUCCAUUGCAGACUCUGCAUUAGUUCCCACGAGACAAGCUAGGAAAAAGAGACAAAUUCUCAUAAAAAUCAAAAACAUCAAACACUAAUCUUGUAUAUUUUAAUAAUCAUAGCCAUUGAUCUAUUAUAUUUUCUAAAAAGUUAUCCACCACUAUCAUUGUGAAAAUAUUCAAAAAUAAACUCUAAACCUAUAUCUAAAUUACCGAGCUCAGCUAUUAUAAAAAAUUAUCUAAAGUAACCCCAUAAUCUUCAUCCAAUUUACUAAUACAUAUCAUUAUAAAGCAUAACUUAAAAUGUCAUUCUAAAAUUUUAUCUAUAUUACCCACGUAUGUUGUUAUUAAAAAUAACCUAAAUUAAACACCUAAAUCUUAAUCUAAUUAUCAUCAUAAGUAUCAUAGAGAAAUGUCAAAAAGUAAACUAAUAUAUAAUUCUAAAUUAUCUAUUAAUGUCAUUGUUAAUAUAAAAAAUACUAAAUUAGAGUAUAUACACAUGAUGAGUGUCACCAUUUAGACCAUUUAUACAUGUAUGUGAGGAAUCGAUGAAAAAUAUUGAUUUGUAUGCUAAACAUAAUAUAUGGAGGAUUGGAGGUGCGAUACAAAAUGGAAAAAGUAUGAAUAUGGAUGAAAAAGUGGAUAGAGUAAUUAUUAAUUAAAAAUCAAUCACAACUGGAUAAAAAUAGGUUAUAUAGUAUUAUGUUGACGUAUUGGAAAAAUGAGAGAGUAGUAGGUAAUCAAUUUUGAUUAUUAGCUUAGAGUUUAAUUUCUAAAUAAUUUUCAAAUACAAUAGCUUCUAAAAAUAUUAGCCCGUGUGGGAGCACGGGUUGAUGGACUAGUGUAAUAUAAUCAAGCUCUAGCAGAACGAGAUUAGGGAAAGAUCCCUGUCUCAACACGAGCUCUUCCCCCUCGAACGAACGCAACCUCAUACCUAGAAUUGCUUGUUCAGAUUCCAGUUGCUACUUAUGGCAAGGUGACGUAUUGCCCCUUGUUUGUCGCUCAAACUUCAUCCAUCCUUCGAGUGUAAAAGCAAGAGUUUCCUCCCUUGGCUUGGAGAGAAUGCAUAUUUGGCCCAUGAUAUCAUGAAGCCUACAAGAGUCAACUUUGCCACUACAUGUAUUCACAUCUUCCCCUGGAAGGAUCAUACUCCUAUCCAGAAGGUUUUCAAAGUACAUGUCACCAACUUCCCCUGCAGUCAUGCCGUGCAUAUCCCUCUGCAACCCAGCGCCUGAUUGUGGGUUUACGCCUAAUUUUGUGGUCCUCCGGAAAUAUUGAUAGGUACAAGAAACAAGACUUCAGAUGAUAGGACUGUUUUUAUUGUCCUAAGCUCGGGACUCAUCUCUAACCCUGCACUAAUACGAUCAUUUGUCUUUCUCCAUUCAGCGGCAGUUUUAGGAAACCUACAGUGGACAGAAUUCAGCAUGUUAUACUCCAACUAAAUACUGCAGUCUUGAUUCAUCAAGCUACCAUUGUAUAUAGUCACCCGCUUCAGAAAGCCUGACAUGUAACACUAACACUCUAAGAAGUUAUCAGCACAAUCUUCACGGGGCUAUUUUUAAAAGGUCAGUUUUCUACCCAAAAUUUGUUUUGCUUGUUCGAAUGUUGCUAAGUAGAUGGUAUUCUUAAAGUGACCACUUUAACAACUUCCAAAAUUUUCAAAUAAGGAUUAAGGAUUGAUGUAGGUCACUUUUCCCUAUCGCGUAAAAAAAGACUAUAUCUUUGGUUUUCUUAGGAAUUCAAUCAAUCAAUUACGAAACACUACAUACACUUCGUGUAUCUUGCUAUCUACAUACACUAAAGUAAAGGCUACUGAUUAUAUCUUGCUAUCUGCUUAUGGCCACACAUGGGGAGCUCGACACAGCAUAUUGUGCCCUCGAUUAGAGGGGCUGCACAUCAAUUCCGGCGAGGGUGAGGGCCGGGCAGCCAGAUGGCCUGAAGUAAGAAUUAGUCUUCAUUUAUCUAAUUGGUUUUGUAAUUAAUAUAUAUUUAAUAUUUUUAAUUAGUAUCUAAACAUUCAAUGUGACAGUGACUAAACUUUAGUCCUUGGAACCAAACACCCCCUAACUAAAGCCCACCGACAAAAAGCUGACGCAUAUGAAUUACCUAGUCCAAAUACAUUGCAGUUGCCUCAUUAUAGAGCUACAUGGUCUGGCUCACCAUUGUGCAGGCAGUCCAUAGGAAGUUGAGGCUUGGGUACCCAUACAGCUAAAGACCACCCAUGUGAGGUAGAAGCAGCCUGUCAGAUGUAUCGUCACUUCCAAUCGUCAGCAACGGGACUAAACAAGUGCAACAGUCAGACACCACAAAGAGGCAGAUCAGAUGGCACACGGAUUCAAUUUGUACUCCCUCCAUCCAAAAUUACUAUUCGUUUUGGUUUUUCUAGAUACAUAGCUUUUGUUAUGCAUCCAGAUAUAUAUAUUAUGUUUAUAUCUAGAUACGUAACAAAAAUUAUGUACUUGAAAAAAUCAAAAGAAUAGUAAUUUGGAACGGAGGGGGUAUCAGCAUUCCUGAAAAUCUGUGAGUUUGUACUGAAAAUUCAGCCAAAAAGCCCUUUUGAAGUUUGAAUGCUUCACAAAGCUUGGUGAUGCUACUUCAUCCUUAGCCAAAAAACCUGAGUUUGUACUGAAAGUCACCCAAAAAGCUUGUCUCUGAUUGCUUGCAACUCUCUCAGAGCACCUCCUGUUAGCAAAAAAUAAGGACCACCAUCCCGAGGGUCGCCGGUAUCGGACACCUUGAAAAUAACUCUAAACGCGCAUGGUCCAAAUUAGAAAUUUCAACUAAAGUCUGCCGCCUUAAUAGACCAUGAUUUUCCGAUUUGGUCUCCACGCAUUCGACCAGGCAGCUCGUUUUUAGUCCCCCAUGGACACUGAGCUAGCAGCAGCCUCCUGUGACGUCACCAGUGUCAGAUGUAUUAUGGCACCGUUCAAACUCAGCAGCAGGACUGUAAGUGCCACAAGCAUAAACAGACAAAUUGGCACAUGGAUUUGCACAAGCAUUCUAUAUUCCCCGGCAAGUUUGAUUUUUUAUUAUUAGUAUUUUUUUUUUAGAGGAAGGGCAAGUUUGAUUCAUAUGCUGGACGUCUGGAAAGGGUCCAGUUGUUUCACUGACUUAUGACUGGCCCAGCCCACCCAGCAAAUCCGUCCACGAAAUUGGGCCUAUUACAUAUAGAACCUAUUGCAUUUUCCUCCCAGCCCAUUUCCGAUACUCCACAACCUCCGCUUCCCGGGAAUAUAUGGCUUCCGGUAAUUUUCCAGUUACCGUCAGAUGUUUGAGAUCGGUGCAAAACAAUCCCACCCGUGGGAUGCACCUGCUCCUCAACCCUAACCGCGCCUCUCCAUGGCCGCCUCCAAGCUCGCCGCCGCCGGCUGCCCCCAACCUCGCCGCCGGUCCGCGACCCCUGGCGCGCCCCAGCCGCACCUGUGGUCGCGGCCUGCCGUCCUCGUGCCCCUGCCGGCCGCGCGCUGCACCCCGGCUGCGCUUGCCGACCGCCAGACAUGCCCCUCUACUGCACGCGCACCCCGACCGUGCCUACCGACCGCCGGACGCGCCCCUCCGCUGCUCGUGCGCCUCGGCCCAGCCAACCGACCGCCGCACCUGUUCACCGGUCGCGCGUCGACGCCGAAGAAGCCAAGGCUUUUUUUUUCAAAAUGUUGACGUAGGUAUCGAUAUAUGUUGAAUCCAUUUUUCUAAAUUGUUGAAAUAGGCUGUCGAAAAUGUUGAAAGCGGUAUUUUUUUUUUGAAAAUGUUGAAUCUUGUAUUUCUAAAUGUUGAUCUACUUUUUUAAAAAAUGUUGCAUGUAGUUUUCCAAAAUGUUAAAUUUGAUUCUGGUUUAAACUAGGCCUGAAAACGGUCGGGAACGGUCGGGAAAAUAUCUUAACCAUUCCCUCUCCUAUAUUUUUUUGGCCGGGAACGGAAACGGGAACGGGAAGGUCGGACGGGAAAACGGAUCCGGUAUUACACGAUAUCGGGAACGGAAUAUUUCGAACGGGAACGUGUCGAUUAUGAUCGGGAAACGGUAACACAAAUCGGAAAUAUAGAUAUAUGUAACCACUUAGAAACAGAGAGCUCGAUGCAACAAUAGCAACCAUGCAUAAUCCAUAUGCAAACAAGUAAACAAUACGUCAAUACCAGCCGCAAGACGAACAUGCUGACAAGUUGAACAUGCAUAAUCCACACUCGACAGAUGAACAUGCUGUCCACAUACCACAACUCACAAGUUCAUAAAUCAUAACGUUCACAAAUCACAAGUUGACAGGUCCAAAAUAAAAAAAAACGGCAGGCACCAGUGAGUCAGUGACAAAUAACAGAACACAAGUUCUACAUUUCUACAUGUCAAAGAGGUCCAGAUCAUCUUCAUGUGGCCCAUGUUCUUCAUCACUGUCCGCGACAUCGUCGUCCUACAACAAAUAGGAGGCAUCAAUCUUACAAAGUUACAGUAGCAUUGACUUUGUUGAAAAUGACUUAAACUAGACAGUAAAAUGACCUCAAUCUUCAGCUUCGAAGCAAGAGCCUCAAUAACUUCAAGAUCACCUACAAUUGAAGCAAUCUUUCUAUCUGAAAAUCAUAGUUAGCCAAGACAUACAUAUUAGAAAACAUGAUUAUGAUAAAAUAUUGUACAAUAACUAAAACUGAGAUACUUUUCUAACCUCUUCUGCCUGCAGCAACCCAAUCUUUCAUGCAUAUCAAAGCUUCAACCAUUUCAGGAUCAAGACGGCUACGGAAAGGAUCAACAACACGUCCACCAGCGCUAAAAGCAGAUUCAGAAGCGACGGUUGAGACUUGUACAGCUAGCAAAUCACGAGCUAUUUUUGACAGAACAGGAUACUCAUCGGUCUGGUUCUUCCACCAUGCCAAGAUAUCAAACUGACCACUAAGCCUCAGAGGAGGAUCUGCCAUAUACUUGUCCAGCUCAUUCAUAUCAUUAGCAUCAUGCCCACUAGACUCAUAUAAGAAGUUCUCUAGUUCAUCAUCUCCGCUGUCCACUAAUAGGUCAGCUGUAUCUAUAUCCUUAACAUCAUUUGACCCACGUUUAGGCCUCGAGGAUGAAGGUUCAGCAGUAGCAUAGAACUGGUACAGUUUCUUGAUGACAUCAACAAGUUCAUCAACAUAAACUUGAGGUGAGGUACCAUGGAAUUUUCUCAUGUAGAACUCUAUAAGCCUUUUCUUAUAUCUAGGAUCUAGAAAGCAGGCAAUAGCAAGUGUAGUGGAUGAUUUCUUCCAAUAUUUUUCGAACUUCGUACUCAUAGAACUUGCCAUUGCACUAAUAGUGGUAUCUUGACAAACUGACCAUUCAUGUAGUAAAAUCUUUAUCUCACAAAACCCUCUAUAGAAUAGAUUUGCAGUGGGAUAUAAAGUUCGAGACAAUAGUUCAGUGAGAUCAAAGAAUUUCUUCAAGCAUUGGAACAGUUUAAAUGCCAUGACCCAUUCACUAGGAGAAGGAGUGAUUUUUUCAUACCUACGGCGAUCUGACGAUUUUAGCCUCAUGAAUGCAUUCUUGUAGUACAAAGCAUCUCGAAGCAUCAAAUACGUGGAAUUCCAUCUGGUUGACACAUCAAGUGAAAGGCCCUUGUUUGUAUCCAAUCCACACUCGGUUGCACGCUUCAUGAGCUCCUCCCAUUGCAAUGGAGAUCCUUUGACAGCAAGAACAAGUUGUCUAAUAUUCUCAAUUGUGGGUGUGAUUACACUCAAACCAUCCCUAGCAACAAGGUUCAGUAUGUGACAAGCACACCUCACAUGGAAGAAUAUUCCAUCACAUAUCAAAGACGUUGCACUAGCAUUAGCCUUUAGAUCAGAGAUGAUGUCUUUGACUGCUACUUCAUUUGCUGAUGCAUUGUCCAAGGUCAGAGCAAACAUUCUCUUGUCAAUAUACCACUUAACCAUAAGUUCAGUAAAUGUCUCCGACAGCUUUGUACCAGUAUGACGGCCCUUUACAUGCACAAAGUUAACAAUCCUUUUCUGGAUAGACCAAUUGUCAUCUAUCCAAUGUACAGUGACACACAUAUAUGACUUGUUCUGAUUUGAAGUCCACAUGUCCAUGGUGGCACUAAAUCGGCAAGAGACAGAUUUGAAGUAGUCAUACAACCUUUCCUUUUCAGCUAAGAACAUGUUCAUAAUUUCCUUCCUAAUGGUAACCCGAGAUCUGAUUGGAAAGCUAGGACGCAGGGAUUUGAUGAACUCAACAAAAUACUCAUGCUCAGAUAUAUUAAAUGGGUACUCAUGCAUGACUAUUGCUAGGUAAAACUUUCUCAAGCUAACCUCUUCAUCAUACCUAUAUGGUACCACAACAGUGAUGUCUUUCUUCCCAUCUUUUUCCACUUUGAGCUGCUGCUGGCCCUUCACUAUACUAUGUGCCACCCUCAGAUGGGUCCAAAAUCCAGUUGUUCCGUAAUUACUCUCACAUCUGCCCUUGUGCUUGCAUCUUGGCCAUUUGCAAUGAGCCCAGACCUGAACAUAUGUCUUCCCAUUAUCCUCAAUGACCACCCUCUUCUUGGUAAAGUACUGCCAUACAUCAGAUGUGCACCUCUUUUGCCUCUUCCCACUGCGCUGAUCAUCUUCAGCAGGCACAGACUCAUCACCCUCAAUAAUAAUGGCAUUUGCUGUAUCUGUUCCUUGCAGACCUUGCUGUCCAACAUUUCCAUCACCAGCACCAUUUCCACCACUGUCACUACCACUGCCGCCUAUAUCAGCUGCACCAGCACCACUGUCACUACCAAUGCCACCUCCACUUAGCAAAGAAACCCCAUCAUCAGUUGCUGGACUAGAUGCUGGAGUUGCACUAGACAGACACAAACCACUUGUUGACCUUGACAUCAUACAUCCUGCGAGGAGAAAUACAUGAAUAAGAACCAGAGACUAUAAAUACAUGAAUAACUUUGGUUGCACUAAUAUACUUGUAUUCCUAUGCAAUUAGAAAACACGAUCAUAUAGACCAGAGACCACCUGAGUAAAAUAUAGCUAGGUUGAGUAAAAUAUGAAAGUUUUUGGAUUCUAUGAGUAGCAAUACAACUUCCUGAAGCAAUUACAAUUUACAAGGAUAAUACACCACCUGAGGUUGGAGUUGGAGUAGGAAGCAUGGUGCUAUGCACCACCACGGGUAGUGGCGGCUCCAGGAUGAGCCGUCGCUUGGAUCCCGACGAGCCAGCAGCAGAGGCGGCAGGACCCCCAGUCGGCGGCGACAUUGCUCCGCCGAUGGAGGACGACCGCCGGCCGUGGGAGCCUGGACGACCGCCGGCGGACGGGCGGGCGCAGGCAGACGGGCGGCCGGCCGGCCGCGGACGGGCGGGCGGCGUCGGACGGGCGGGCGCGCGGCGUCGUACGGCCGGGCGCCGGCGGCCGGACGGACGGGUGGCGGCGGACGGGCGGCGGCCGGACGGGCGGCGGCUCACGGGCGGCGGCCGGACGGGCGGCGGCUGACGGGCGGGCGGCCGGCCGCGGACGGGCGCGCGGCGUCGUACGGGCGGGCGCCGGCGGACGGACGGACGGGCGGCGGCGGACGGGCGGCGGCCGGACGGACGGGUUUGCGCUAGCGCUAGGGUUCGGCGGUUCGCGCUAGGCCUCGCGCAGUCGCGCACGCGCUAGAGUGCCUGAGCCUGACUGCCUCUGCCUGGUUGUGGAUUGUUGGUGGGCUGGGCCGCGCGGCUGACUGCCUGGUUGUCGAAGUGUGCUGGGCUACAAGUUGAAAUGGGCUGAAAAUGAGAUUUUGCUGUGCAAAAUACGGGAAUACCGCCGGUAUUUUUCCUGCUAAAUACGGGAACCGUGAAUACGGUCGGGAGAACCCCUUAACUGAUUUCGUUCCUGUUCCUGCCUAAAAUACGGUGUCGGUUUCCUAUUUUCUAUUUUUCCUACAAAAACGAUAUCCGAUCGGUUAAUGCGGUAUACGGUGUCGGUCGGUACGGGAAUUUCCCGUACCGUUUUCAACCCGAGUUUAAACAUCACAUCCGCCCCCUCCUCUCACACAGCGACACGUGUCCACCCUUGCAGUGGAGCGCACGCGACAUGCCUGCUCCACACGAUGCUUCCUCAGAUUGGAUCAAUCUCACCCGUUCUUCUAUAUUUGCACCAAUCUCAAAAAAUGGAAAAUAUUGAUGAUCAAACGAUCCAGACCCGAGAGUUGUUUGGGCGUAGAAAUUUAGCCCAUAACGUCCAGCCCAACAGGCCCUCCUCCCGGGCCGCUUCCCCAGCUCAGGUUGAAUGGUCGAUAGAGCUUCCCGUCUGCGGCGGCCUUGCCGGAGAUCUCUUCUGAGUUCUGACGCCCCUGUACCCGCGGCGACAUCUCGUCCCACACCACCGGCUGGAGCUCCACCGCUCGACUCUCGGAUUCUUCCGCCGCGCGCGCAAGUGCGGAUCCUAGGCUCCCAGUGCAGAAGCAGUCCAGCAACUGCCGCCAAGGUCCCGUCCCGGCUUGUCGCGCGCGGCGCGCCGUCGCCGUGUGGCCGACGCCGACGGCAACCUCUGCCGCUGCAUUGGCGUCGUCCCCGACUCCGCGCCGGAGGUAAAAUCUCUGUUGAACUUAUUAGGUUUCUUUGUGAUCCUACUUGCUCCAUAAGCAACAGUUGCAAUUUGCAAUACAGUAGUACGAGGAACUACUCCAUUCCAACUUUCUUGGAGAGUCAAACUAUAUUAUGUUUGACUAAAAUUGUAGAGAGGAUCAUAAAGGUUUAUGGUACCGAAUAGAUAUACUAUGAAAAUAUAUUUAAUGAAGAAACUAUUGGUACUUAUUUGGUAUCAUGAAUAUUAGUACUUUAUUGUAUAAAUUUGGUCAAAGUUUGAGAUGCUUUGACUCUCCAAGAAAGUUGGAACGACUUAUAAUUUAGAACGGAGGGAGUAGAAAGGAAAAUGUUUCAACUUUCAAAUGAAAAAGAGACUUUGUAGGAAGAACUCGGUCGAAGGUGAAAGCCUGCUAGUGCUAGAUGCACUUGGCAUAACUACAUGUCGAACAAAGACGAAGCCCUUUCGAGGCCAAUUAGCAAGGAACUGCAGGAACUUAAUGCUAAAUUGCCUUGGCUCGCCUACUCUGGCCAAGUAGCUUAUCACUUAUUUGGAAGAAGACCGAGUCUUUCUGGAAACACUAAACUUGGUAGCAAGUAUUCGCACAAAUCUCAAAUUGCAAAGCAUCACAAGUUGACCUGGCAGCAUGCAACCAUCAAGGUGUCAGAAAGUCAUUGGAAUGUUUCAGCGGUGGCUGUGAAGCUUGUCUCUAACAGCUUGCAGUUCUCUCAAAGCAUCUCCGAUUGGCGGGCGAUCCGUCGGUGUCUCCUCUGAACACCUAAUCCCAACUUGCAGAACUGAAGUGAUGCAGGCCAUUAUCAUUUCACUAAUGAUGCUUGAGUUGAAGUUGCUGGCUUCACCACCUUCCAUCUCUGUUAGUAGCUGAUGGUCUAUGAUAAUAGCUGUGCUAUGUGGUAGUGACAUUUGAACAUAACUUCGAAGCCCAAUGGCUUCCCCAAAGUCAUUAUCUGUUGGCCUUUUUCCAGUGAACAUCUCCAGUAACAGUAUGCCAUAGCUAUAGACAUCACCCUGGGUGGAGACCUCGUUGCCCAAUCCAUACUCUGAAACCAACCAAAUUCCAAAAGGUGUUCUUUUGUAAGAAAGCGACCUUUUCAAGAAUUUGGGUAUGUAAUAACAUGUUUCUUGUAGUAGUAUUCAUUUCCAAGACUAUGAAAUUAUUUGUUGUACUUACAGAUAAGUGUGAAAUUACUUAUUUAUUUUUCCCUUAUUAGGAAUUUACAAGUUUCAGCUAUUUCCUGGUCCACUCUACGAAACUGAGUUUCAUUUAAUUUGUACUUAUUUAAGCAAGUGAAAUACUAAAAAAAAGCUUUAACUUAUAUAAAACCUAGCACUGCAAACUUUUAUUAGAGGAGAAUAGAGAGCUGUAGCAAAUGGAACCACACCUGGAGCUGCAUAACCAAUUGAUCCUCUCAUUGAUGCCCAACCACUUGAUUUCUCCAUGUCUUGAUACAAAAACCUUGCAAGCCCAAAAUCACCAACAUGGGCGACCAUGUCAGUAUCCAGGAGAACAUUGCUUGGCUUAAGAUCACAAUGAAUAAUUGGAGUCGGCUUAUGUUGGUGAAGAUAAUCAAGUGAGGAUGCCACAUCAAUUGCAAUGUGUAGCCUUUCAAUCAGAUCUAGUGCCUUUUGUUCACCGUCCUCUGUAAUAUGUUGGUGCAGUUGUUGGUCUAAAUUUCCAUUAGGAAGAAACUCAUACACAAUGGCCAUGAAGUCACGACCCUGAAAAUCAGUACUUGAGCACACUGUCAAUAUCUUCACAAGGUUUCGGUGUCGAGCACAUCUUAAAGUCUUGCAUUCUGCGAUAAAACUUUGAGACGCUCCACGUUGCAUGAGGUUUAUAACCUUGACAGCGACGAGUGCAUGCUGUUCAUUUCCUCUCAUUCUACCUUUGUAGACUGAACCAAAGCUCCCAGCCCCAAUGAGGUUCUCAGAUGAAAAACCAUUAGUUGCGUGGGCCAAUUCAGCAUAAGAUACCCUCAUGUGUUGUUCACCAAUGACUGAGCUCUGUGGGUUUGCUUUUAUUUUUUUAUUCUUUCUGUAUAAUGAAGACAGUGCAAAUACUAAUGCUACAGAAACACAACCACUGCAUAUGGCAACUAUUAUGGCAAGUUUUUGCAAUGGCUUCUUCGUGGAGUGGUUAGAGCAGGGUGGCAAUUUCAGCUGAGGGUUACCACCACAAAGGCCAUCAUUUCCAGCGAUCAAAGUCGCAGUUGCAUUGAGAAAUACCCCAUCUUGUGGAACUGCACCUUGGAAUUUGUUGAAUGAUAGAUUCAAUGAGGAAAGCCCUGGCAGGCUGCUAAGGAUUUCAGGGAUUGUCCCAGAUAAAUUAUUGUAGGAAAGAUCAAGCACCAGGAGGCCUCUUAGAUUUCCAAGUGACAGUGGAAUUGAUCCUUGAAGGAGGUUUCCAGAUGUAUUGAGAUAUUCCAGGCUUCGACACUCGCCAAUGGAGGCUGGAAUCUCACCAGAAAUCCUAUUAUUAGAGAAAUCUAGAUCGCCCAGAUUUUUUAGAUUUCCCAGUUCUGAUGGCAAAGUUCCAGAUAAUGAAUUGUGUGAAAGAUCCAUCGUAGCCGAUAAUGUUGACAUGGAAAGUAGUUCUCUAGGUAACAAACCAGAAAGAUUGUUGUGAGAAAGAUCAAUCGCUUCUAAAGGACAGUUGCUGAGACUAGAAGGAAUAACUUCACUAAUCAUAUUAGUACUAAGUCUAAGUCGAGUAAGUUUUGUUAGAUUGCCAAGAGUUACUGGGAUGGGUCCUGACAAAGCAUUGUUUAAUAAAUAUAAUCGGUCCAACUUCUUGAGAUUGCCAAACGAUAAUGGAAUAGCACCUUUAAAAAUAUUAUUACCCAUGCUGAGGUAAUUCAAAUUGAUUAGGUUCCCUAUUCCUUCUGGUAUUGCUCCAGUUAAAUUGUUGUUUCCUAUGGCCAAAUAUUCCAAACGUGUUGAGAGAUUACCAAUUGAAUUUGGUAGCACGCCUUGGAGUUUGUUGUAAGAAAGACCCAACUCCAGCAUAUUGCUACAGUUAGUUAGACUAGUCAGGAAGCCCCAAUCAGCGUCAUUUGUUGCUUCAAAUUGAUUUCCUACAAUCCUCACUACAGACAGAUUUUUUUGUUGAGCUCCCAAACAUUGGGGAAUGGUUCCACGUAGGAAGUUCUUUACUGUUUGAAUCAUUUGAAGCAUGGAAGCAUUGCACAGGGAUGAUGGGAGCACGCCAUGAAAUUGAUUAUCUGAUACAAGAAAUUUUGUUAGUUUCGAAAGCUUGUUGCCAGUAUUAGAUGGAAAACCCCCAGUAAAGUUGUUUUGUUGUAUGUUUAGAACUUGAAGAGAAGAGAGAUUGAACAGCGAAGGUGGCAAAGAGCCUCCUAUUUGAUUAGUCAUCAGAUAAAGUCCAGUGAGUGCAUGGAGCUUUCCAAGUGUAUGGGGCAUAGAACCUGAAAGAUUGUUCUCAGAGAGAGAAAGGAUUGUAAGCAACUCUAGAUUUCCUACUGAUUCUGAGAUUUGACCCACCAGACCAUUAUGCUGCAAAUCUAUGAUCUGUAGUGAAGUGAGGUUUCCUAACCAAGAAGGGAUGGUUCCUUCAAGAUGGUUUCGCGCCAGAAUAAGAUGCUCAAUAGAAGAUAGGCCUUGCAGUGGUGGGAUGCUUCCUUCAAUGUUAUUGGUGGCAAUACUAAGAAAGGUCAACGCUGAGAGGUUUCCAAGUGAAUCGGGGAUCAUUCCUGAGAACUGGUUGGAGCUAAGUUGUAGAGUCUCAAGAUCAGGGAGAUUACCGAGCUCUUGUGGCAACAUGCCAUGGAAGUGGUUCCGUGAGAGGUGGAGUCGCCUCAAGUACGUGAGGUUGCCCAAAGCAGGGGUGAUGGUGCCAACAAGGUUGAGCUCUUCGAGUCCCAGCUCCACCACAUGGCCACGGCGGCGUCCCCUCAAGCCGCACGCCACGCCGUGCCACUGGCACAUCGGAAUGGACAGGUUGCCCCAUGACGCAAGGGCUUGCGAAGGGUCACUCGUUAUGAGUGAUUUGAAGGAGAUGAGCGCGAGCCGGUCGGUGAUGCUGCUCGUGGAGAUUGACAACGCUGGCACCACGAAACCUGCAGAAGAUGUGAGGAACAUGAAGGCGAGCAAGAACGACUCGCCGAGUAGCAACAUUGCUGACAGUGGUGCUUGGGUGCUGGUGUGGUUACAGCCAUUCGCAUAAGGCAAGCUGAGCUUAUUCUCAAUAUAUAGUCAGGAGCUGCAUUUUCCACUGGGUUCAAUGUAAACCACCGAUCAUCAAUUUACAAGUGGUCAACGACGUAAAAAUCUGGUAUUACUGAAAUUUACAUGUCUAGGCUGGUUACCGGUAUUGUUUUGGUCUAUUCUGGCUUGAAAUUCUAUCUUUUUUCCUCAAAAUUUUCUGUUCGUUCAGUAUUCAAAAGCAUCAACACUAUGACAUCAUAAAAAAAUUGAUAUGCAGUCUAUCACCCGGGUAACAUUUUAACCGGUCAAGGCUGGUGUGCCUGCAGGCUAUCACCCGGGUUUUUGGUUACUUGGUUCUGAUGAUCUGCUCACUGUUGAAUUGUGUUCUUUGCGUGCGAGGCAAGUCAUGUGAUCGUGUCGACAUCUCAUAUGAAGAUUCUUAGAAAUGGAUCAGACUUGCAGCAGUUUAGUUGCCAAAGACUGUUUUGUAAUCACUAGUCCAUAUUUUGUUUUGAUGCAAAUCUGCCACUUGGUCAACAAAGUAGGCUGGUCACCUACGUUUGAUAUUCUAUUAUCCUUGUGUCAACCGUGGUACAACUAACAUUGCUAUUUUUUAUCAUAAUUUUGAAAGUAAGGUGUGAAACCAUAGGUGUGUCAGUAAGUCAAGGAGUCAGAGGUAUAUGGAGUUUUCUGUAGACUGUAUCAGUCGAAUCACCAUCAAAGUCAAGAAGUCAAGGUGGUAGGUAUAUACUAGACCCAGAUGUCAAUGCAAACUCAGCUUACCAUUUUAUCUUUAUAAGAGCCAACGUAACUUUGCUUUUGAGAAUGCAAGGAAAAAUAGACAAAACGGUUAUUUGCGUUACCAAAAAAAAAUAUUCUCUGAGUUUACCCAAUGGUUGAUUCUUGUUUAAAGCCAACAGACUUGUUUGUAGUCACUGACGAAAGGAGAAAAAUAUUAUAAAUUGUCAUUGAAAAGAAAGUUUGCUAUGAUCUUUCAUUGUUGGCCACUAAUUCCAAAUUUCCAUCCUGCAGAAUUGAAACGAUGCGAUGCUCCGUUACUUGCUGGUGCAUCAGCAAGCAAAAGAGUACCAACUGGUUGCACAAAAGGUCGCUUCCUCACUUCGCUCUGUUGUACAGGAAAGAACGCAGUAUUUGUUAGGUUUGUAUCCGAUUCUCACCAUGAUAGCACUGCUGUCAGCACCCUAACCCACUGACUGGCAGGUUCAGUUUCUUCUCGUGCUGCUUAGCUGAUCGGAUAGCUACCCGACUUCAAUUUUCUUUUCCCGCCGUCAAGGAUCCUGGACCAACUUGUCACCCUUAGUAAUCUGGGAAUUUUUUUUUUUUGAUGUGUUCUUAUCGUUUAGAGCAGGCACCGUACCGUGAUGGCGUCAGGCACAGGCACUGAAGUUUGGUGGAGGCUAUACGUUCGGAGCAACAAGCAAGGAAAUCUGGUUUCAGAUAAUCACCAAAGGGAAACGGAACUACGUACUGCAAGAUAGGCUGCAGCCGGCUAAGUAUGCAGUGUAUCUGAAACAAGUGGAGUUGUUCUUUUGAGAUAAACAUUCAUUCAACUGACCCCAAUCCUCCUUCUACCAACUACAAUAAUAUCCUAGAAGAUUCAACAAAAUUUUGAUAUGGAGAUGGAGGUGGGCGUGUGGCGACGCACCGAUCAAUUAACACGGACUUGAAUCUUUAAUUUGCCUGUCUUAAGGUGCACGAUCCCAUUUACAAACAGGAUGGAGGCCACACUGCAGAACAAUCCUUGCAUCAUGGUUUGAUUACGUGCCGCUGCAGCCAUACACCGCUGGGCUCGCGGCGGUGCCCACUCAUCCUAUGGCCGCAGAAGGAUCUAAUUUAUGCCAGCAUUUCUGAAUCCUAUACCAGAAAGUCUCUUUAGCGGCUCUAAAAGAGCAUACUAUGUUGUUGCUUCUCCAAUAGUCCCCCAUGUUGAGUUCACCACAAAAUGUUGCCGCAUCAGAGAGGAAAAAUCUUCAAGCACCAACUUCGCGGUUUAAGUAGUCGACAAACAUCCUCUUUGCGCUAUCAGCAUCAGUCGGCGGUGGUGGACCACUCAGGCUGUACUGCCCUGCCAGCUUGAUGAAAGUUCGUCGCAGGCUUCGGAGCUCAGGCAGGCCAACAGAUCUUUGAAGAUUGAUGUAACAAUUAGUUAAGGAUCUCAAUUCAAACAGUAACAACCAAGCAUGGCUGAAGUUUUCCCCACUUAUUUGCAUGUAUAAAUGCAGGAGAGGCAAAUCCUUUAAAGCUAAUAUAUGAAGUUGUGGAGCUAAUUCUACAUUGAUACCAUGUGCCGACUGGAUAGCAAAGUUAAAUAUCAAAAACAACCUAUGGAUUUUUUAACUCACUGAGAUGGCAUUUGUAUAAACUCGCAUGAUAAUAAAAGGAUAUAGUUGGCAAGUUUGGUCCAAUAGAAAUCUUGUUCAUGGCAAGCCCAAGACCACAGGAUUGUGCUUCAACAACUGCAUUCACCACCUCCUGCCAAGCGCAGCACGUUAUCAAAGCGUGUAGAUUUAAGACCAGCUACCAACCAAGACAACUGCUAUUACCUGUGUUGCUUUGUCCAUCUCAUACAGGGAAUUAGCCUCUGUUGUUCGCACCUGAAAUAUCAAGCCAUUAUGAAAACGCAAUCUGAUAUCCAAAGUAACUGCCAAGAUCCAGGAAAAUGCAAUUAUGAAAAUGUAACUGCCAAGAUCCAGGAACAAAAUUAACAGCAUAUGUCCAUUUAAAACUGCCUUCUGUCACACACAGGAAAGGAAAUAUGGAAAGCACUUGAUAUCCUAAGUUAAUUCACACGAUGGAAGAGAAGCUGCCAGUUUCUUAGAUUAUUCCAUUUUCAUACGGCCAACUUCAAUAACUAUGAUAUAUAUCUUGGGCUGAACUAGUCCUGAUAUUGAUACCACUGAACAAACUAGAAAUAGUUGUCCAAUCACGUUAUCAUACUGUGUAAUAGGGAAGUUAGUCAGGCAUGUUCAAUCCAGUAGUAGAUGACAACAGAAAAUAUUGAAAAUUGUCACUUGUGCACAAUGCACACCAUUUUGUGCAGCAGGUUGUUGUCACACCUGCUCUAGGCUUAGGGUUUAUGCUUGUUACAGGAAACCAAAGUAUACAACAUAACCAUUCACAUAUUCUAUGAUUCCAACAACCACCGAACAGGCAAGAUAUAAGAAGUAACUGAUCGUGCGCUAAUGAUGUUGAUGUUCAAUAUAACCCUAUUCACUUUUUUUCAGGGAACGCGCAGGAGAGUUGCGCAUCAUUAAAUUAAGGAGUCAAAGAAGACUGACGCAACCCCUAUUGGGGCAAAAUUAAUUACAAGGAGACUCGCCAAGGACCCAUGAGUCCAUGACUACAACCACUGACCAAAUAUCCAUAUUUAAUUAUUAAAAGUUUGGCACAUGGCUCUAAGGAUGACACCUGAUGCACAUAGAAUACAAGCAUUCACAUAAACAUUUUGAAUUAGGAUUCCAAAUGUUACAAUACCACACUGAAUUAUCAGAGUUGAGAUUGAAAUUUACAACAUCAUGCAGCUUCAGUAAUCUUGAUAUUAAUUUCAAUUUCAUUCUUAUGACCAUAAUGUAUACUUACAGUCUGAGUGGCUAUUGUAGGUUGGAGAACUUUUACAUCUCUAGUUUUUGAAUCCACUUUCUUUGUCAAAUAUGACACAGCCUCGGCAAUAACAGGAGCUGUUUCCACUAUUUCAUCUAUUAAAAACAGUAGAGGAAACAGAUUAACCAAAUUGAAUUAUGUGCCAACCACAAUGUAAACAAAAUUGAGGCAAUAUGCGGUUGUGCAUUGUCCUGUGUGCACAUAUUUUUAAGCUGCUGCAGAAGGAAACACCAAAUUUUAAAAGCAGUUGACAAAGUUAUUAUAAUCCACCUCUACCAAAUGGAGCCGUACAUAUCAUGUGUUUUCGAGAAUUCAAAGCCAUGCAUGUACUGCUCCAGACAGUAACUGAUGAAUGUAGCCUUUGGGGUAUGGAUGGGGCAGCCAAUCUUCAGGAAUUCCUUGUUAGGUUGUUGUCCCCGCCUGCCUAGGCUGGGUUGGUUCUUCAUGAGUGUGUGGGUGUGUGUUUUUGUACUCAGGUUUUGAUCCUUAACCGGACUCGUUGUAUGCUCUUUUCUCUCUUAAUGAAAUGACAUGCAGCUCUCCUGCGUCGUUCGAGAAAAAAAAUGGAGCCGUGCAGUUUUUUCUUUUUGAUUUAUUUAGCCUGUAAUGGAUGCCAUAGAGUUUUUCAAAGCAAGAACUAAUAUAGUACAAGAUUCUACUUAUUGCUAAGGUAGCAUGUGGAUAAUGUGUUUGACAUGGAUUGGAAGAGACGGAAUAUGAGGUGAGUUUAGAAACUGGAAUAUGAGAUUUUGGUACCUUGCCACACUUAGAAAUGACAAGUUUGGGACUAUGGUUGAAUUUUCAUGACUGAAAUUUUCAGGUAAGCAACCAUUCUACUUUUUACAAAAAGCCCCUGCCAAAUGGAUAAAUGGUGAUGAAUUCAAGACUAAUAGUAAUAGCAAUUAAAUUAAUCACUUGAGAAGGUAGUGCAAAUGCCUCGAUGGGGCAAAAGGACAACCUUUGCCGCUGGCUCAAGAGCAACCGGACCAGGCUCAAGGGCAACUUUCGAAGGGGCUCUGAUCUGGAUGAGAACAAGAGUGCGCCACGUGUGUUAAAGGAUGGCAAGGGUGUUUGGCAGCUAGUAGAAAAGAACCAGUGGCAUCAGCAGCAAUUAGUUGGAGGCUCAUAAAACUUCAAUAACCACGAGACAAUGGCAGGAAGGAAAAUGUACGCAUAUCCUCCUAAAUAAUGGGAACUGAGACACAUUCCUCAUGCCCCCAUUCCGGAACCCGAAUUCCCUUCCUAAUCCCUAAGUUCAAGUACUGAAUUAAAUCUAUCCUACUCAAUAAUUCGAAUUUCCAGCAUCCAUUUCACACAAUCCAAAUGUCACCUGAUCAAUUGCCUUGUGCGGUCAAUCAAAAAAUGCACAGAAAGGGCCAUGAUGGCAGGAAACCAGUGUUUUAAAUAGAGGGCUAUAGGGGUGCUAUGACCACUGCAGUAAGAAAGGUAAAAUUGUAUAAACACCCCCAUAAGUCACUUCAAGUUUGACAUUGCCCCCCAUAAGUCAUUUUGUUGCAAAUACCCACCCACCUGCUUAAUUUUGUUGCAAAUACCACCCAGUGUGCUCAAAUUUACCGAAUCAACCUGUUUUUGCCGAGAGAGCAACUACAGGCUGAGGUAGCAUAGUCAAACUUGCCCAAGUGCUUGCAUUAGGUUCAUUUACCAUUUUGUAUUGAAAUUUUUUGUACAGAUAGUGAAACUCAGUGUGACAGUUUAGUCUCUCAUUAGCAAUUCUUUUGUGUAAUCUCCAAAAAAAAAUUGUCGAGAUUAUACUUCUAUAAGUAUGUAAUUUCGGUAAAGACCACAUUGGCAGCUCGCUAUUUUGAAAACAUGUUGAAUCAGUUAAGUUUGCACACACUGGGUGGGUAUUUGCAACAAAAUUAAGCAUGUGGGUGGGUAUUUGCAACAAAAUGAUUUAUGGGGGGCAAUGUCAAACUUGAAGUGGCUUAUUGGGUUGUUUGUGCAAUUUUACCCAGUAGAAAUAGCGGGCUAUAGAGGUGCUAUAACAGUUUGAGAACCCUGCCGCUAAAUCCUAUAGCCCGCUACUUAAAACAUUGCAGGAAACUAAUAGUUUUGUGAGCUGCUAGUCUAUGUUUCCAUCCACAAUGCACGUGACUGUAAAUAUUGUUCUCGAUAACAACCAGUAACGAAUGCUGAGUUCAAACGGUAUAUUUAAAAUAACUACAAAAAGAAGAACAUUUAGUAUGGCAUUGCUAUCUACUAGUCCAUAUGGCACUAGUGUCUUUCAUCGCUACUUGUCGUAGUGGAACUUGUGAUGCUCUGAAUGAACUUUAGAAAAUUGUGCACAUGACAAUAGGAACAAUAAAGACAUAGUAAUCCAGGGAGCAAACAUUUGCAUGGUUAAGACAAAAACAGGGCAGUGAAACGGCUAGAAAUUUGACAGCAUAUGCAACAAGAGAAGAAUUUUUUAGUUAUUAACAACAGACAAUGAGGAUAACUAGUACAAGAUCAUGAGUAGAAGUUGAUUUCUUUUUCUUUAAUAAAAAGGAAGAGAGCCAGUUACCUCUAGAUGGAAACAAUUCAAAAAGAGGGGAAUCCCAACGAUUACGGCUAUCUGGCUUCUCAAAUCUGCUCACAAGAUCUUCAAAUCUGUCAUCAUUGAAGAAAAGAGAAUGAGAGGGCAACUGUAACUGAUUGUACACAUAGCAGUACUUGGACAGUACUUGUGCUAUUCACCCCCAGAAAUCCAAUAUAGUAACUAAAGAUUUUAUAACCUAUGAAAUAUGAGUCAGUUUAAAACAAGAAUGUCAACAUUAUGUAUUUAUGUGACAAGUUAGUAGUUUGAGGUCAACCAGUUCCACAAGGAUUAAAUCUGACUUACAUAUUACUAUCAUAUGCUCGUUCUUCUUUCUCCUGGCGGUUGCUGUUCCAUUCCCUACAAUGGUCCACUUCUGUAUCACAAAAAAGCUGAAAAAUAAAAGAGAAAGUAUAAAGGAAAUCACUUUCUAAUGUAUCAUUUAUUACUGAACUGUACAAAGUGCAAUAAAGUUUCCAAGCUUUCCUAUAGGUGCUCUUGGACAAAAAUAUCAUACAGAACAUAGUCAUGCAUUCCAACUUGUCCUAUGUGUUGAAUUAAAUGAAAUCCUCUUUGUAACUUUAUUUAGGUGAGUUAGGUGAGGGCCAUGAGGCUGUCUUAUAACAUAACUUAGGUGAUGCUCCAACAAAUAUCAACAUUCAAGGCUAGUCUGAAAAGGUAGCUCAUCAUGCAAGCAAUACUGUUAUUCGACUCUUAUAUUAACUAAAUCCAUUGGAACACAUAGUGUCAUCUACAACUCCAGCUUGUUUGUAUUAUGCUAGCACAACCAAUAUUCUAAUAUGAAAAAUAAUAAUAAGUAAAUAAACAAGAGAGCAGGUGGCUACCACACAAUAUCUUACUCCAGAUGCACGCGCAAGACACCACAGCUCAUAUCGGUACCCCUGCAUAUUAUCAGGUGAAAGUCAAUUGUCUAUACCUAAGCUACAUACCUAUACAUAAUACUUACAUACCUAUACACAAUAAUUAUUGCAAGACCAUAAUGCAUUUGAAGGCAUCACAACUAUAAAAUGACGUGACACAAAUUGCAGAAUCUAUUUUACAUCACAAGUAAUGUGACAAUCAAUAGAAUAGUUUGGAUGUAGCAAUAACAAAGGAAGUCAUCCUACAGACCACUACAGUUGCAACUGAGUGUCGCAUCACCGAUUUCAAUGAAUGCCAGUCAAUCGAAUUAGCAUGUAGCAACAUUUGCAACUAGAUUAUCACACUUGUUCAUGUGACAUUCAUAGGAGAUGAAUGAUGUAUAGUUAUGAGACUUCUUAGAGAAUGCUUGAGCUGAAGCAAAAUAAUCCACCAGAAAAGGAGGUUCAUCACAUUUGCUACAUGAUUAUUUGAUUUACUAGCUUAAGUAUACUACAAUCAUAAUAGAAAAAAAAAUCAGCUUAUGCUGACAGAACUUUAAUAUUAAUCUAUAGUUCUAUUAUUUAUGGCAGAAAUUGUGAGCAUACCAUAAUGAUAGAAAGCAAAUUCAAAGCUUAUAUUACAGAUAUAAAGAUAAAAGGGUCCAAAUCCGGGCAAUAACCAGCAGCUACCAUGCUGGAAAUUCCAACAGGUACCAAGAGAAAACAAUUCUGAUGAAAGUGUGCAAUUUAAAGCUUUUCCUUUCUAUUGUUAUGCUGUACUAAACUGGCUAUAUAAUUUUCUUUUACAAGUAGAAGACAGCCGAAAGUUUCAAAAAAUAUAUGAGCAGGAUUAAACUGGUAACCAUCCAGUAACCUCCAUAAACCAGUUGAUUACCAGAUUGCUGGUCAGGGUAACUUUCAACAUGUCUUCGGCAACCAUGAUUGUCACAGUGAUGAGGAGUAAAAGUGAACUAUAAGACAGACUGACACUCUGACAGAUAAGAUGAAGACUGUAAAACUGUAUUAUUAGUUGACAACUGAUUACUCACUACAGAUUUGCGAAAAUAGGAUGAAGAAUUUGAUACUGCCCUCACCUUAAUAUUGUUCAAAGAGUCGACAAUAAUUAUGCUGUCACGUGACACGGACCUGUCAACUUCUGAUCUAAGAACUCCUCUCAAGUUUUUCUCGACAACCAUAUCUAAGAAGGGAACAAACAACUAUGAUCAGAAAGAAACAUGCUCAUCAAAGGGACAAAAAAUAUAAGUGAACAGUAGCAUCAAUACAAGUGCACAAUUAAGACACAUAAUAGUCAGUACCUUUGUAGCUAUCAUUGCGUCCAAGAUGGAGUGAUGACUCGUCAAUGAUACGGACAGUAAGGUCAGUUGAGGAGGAGCGCAGCGCAGCAGCAAGGCAAGCAGCAGCUGCUGAUUUGCCGCUGCAUGGCUGCCCACACAUCACAACGAGUGCCAUGGAAGAUGUAGAAACCUUGAGAGAUGGAAGGGGGGAAAUUUCAGCCAUACAUAAACAAUUCGCAUAAAAAUAAAUACACACCGAAGUGAACAGACAGAUGAUUCACUUCCCAUCUCGAUCUGACUCUAAAACAAGUUAUAUUGAAACAACCAUGCUGCGUAUGGAGUUCAAGGUAGUACUGAAAGAAGAUUUGGGGUGACGGCAGGCACAGUCCCGGUUCAAUGAACCCGGACUGUCCCUGCACCGCCGGCCCCCGGCAAUGGCGCCGCCCACAACCGCCCUCCACCCCGCCAUUGGCUAACAGGAAUUCGCUCGCCCCCGCCGUCGGCCCUUCCCGCAGGACGUAGUCCGCCACCUCGCCAAACUCGAUCCGCCGCCGCCGCCGCCGCUACACGCUCCUGGAGCAGCCCGCUGCCCAUGGAACCCUACCCCGACAACCACGAACCCGAAACCCUAACCCUGACCCAGACACAACCAUGCCUCCGACAGAGGGAGGAGGAGGACUCACCUCGUCGCCGGCCGUCUACCACUACCCACCACAGCUGGACGAGCACGAAUCGGCGGAAGAGAGCAAGAGGGAGCGGCUGAGCUCGGACGGAGAAGGCGCGGCUGUGCCACUGUGGGUGGACCGUGGGCGUAAGGUUGACUGCAAAGUGCACGUACGGAGGUGUAAACGCUUCCACGCCUAGAAACUGCGCUUUCCCACGAAAUAAACGUCCGCGUAUUGAUUAAAAUAACCAUAAACUUCGACGCACUUUUCAUACAUGACAUCAAAUAUAAAUAUUAAACAACUAAAUUUACAGUAGGCAAUAAAAUGCAAGAAUAACUUGUUCUAUCUAUCUCAGAUGACAAUGCAUGUCAUUUGAAAAAUCCACCACAAAAUCAUAGCAUAUGCUAACAAACAUAUCAUCAAUAUUACUCAUUCUAUUUGAUGUGUAUGUUCGGCAUUUAGAUCAUAAAUAUUAUAGCAUAUCUGAGCACCAUGGAUAUCCUAUCCAUCAGAAGUGUAUGUCCAGCAUUUAGAUGAUAAAUAUUACAGUAUAUCCGAGCACCAUGAAUAUUGUAUCUAUCCGGCAUAUGGAACACUACCACAGUAUUCUCAGCUAUCAAACAGCCCAGGUGGUAGCUAGAAAUACUGUUCUAAAUAAGCAUCAAAAUCAACAUUUCAUGAUGAUGUUACACAAUUUGAGCAAUAAAUCUGACAAAAUCAUUCUAAAGACUAGUAAAGCAUAUAGACGAUAAAGCUCAUGAAUUAGAGUUUGGUCACCGAAGCUGAAGCGAGCACAAAAACUGGCUGCAACUAGUAGAGGCAAAAUACAUAUGAACUCCACUGCUCGUGCAUCCUAAACUGGGCUGCAAAACGGAAACAGUUCAGACUUUAGCGUGUCUCCUGGUGAGUAAAAAAUGAUAUGCAAGUGAUCUAUUUAUUUUUAGGUAAGGUCAGAUAAAAAAGAUGCAGUAACCUCAUGAAUUUCUUUAGAAGUAGAAGUAUAAUACGACUUUACAUAUGGAAUAUCUAGCUGAUGCAUAUACCAAUAUGGAAACUUAGAUUAGCAGGUUAAUUAGUGAAUAUCUGUUAGAGGUCUACCUGCUAGAUAAUAUAAACAUGUGACCUGCAUUCCUAGACAAGAUAGUAUGUGGUGGUUCUAACAUUUGAUAUGGUGUGUCUUUUCAUUCUCAGACAUCAUUUUUCAAUUGACUACUUCCAGAAGUUGAAGAGCAAUCCACUCUACAAACCGAAGUGUAAUAUAAGGUGCUAAUGUCCCAUUAUGAGUACAAAGGAUAAUUGCUUCUUAUGUACAUCUAAGCACAAAGCUAAAGAUACUCAAAGUAGAGGCAAAAGUAGAAGCAAGUAAAAUGGUGCAGGGAACUACCUGGGCUGACCAACAGCACCUGCACCGCCGUCACUGUCACCAUUGUCAUCUCUAGCUUCCUCACCAAAGUCACUAGUGAAUAAUUUCUUAGUAACUUUUUGUAAGGGGAUUGGCUAGACCUGUAAGUAUAGUUAUAAAUUUUGUGCGUAAUAACCAAGUGACAAGCAAUAAAACAGGUUGUUGAUAGGGAUAUAACAUUUUCUUUGUAAUGCUUUUCCGUGUCUUUGUAGAAGAAUCACCAAGUGCAUCUUCAGAAGCUAGAGUCUUGGCCUGCGGCAAGAAAUGCCAAAAUCAGCAAUUAAGUCUACUGAAGACAAAUCAUUAUCUUAGGAUGCUAAGACAUGGUCUAUUUAGAGUAUCAAAUCGUUUCAUAUGUACUGAUAACAUACUGAACUAAGCUAUCUAUUUGUGAUAUGAAUUAAUAUUGAAGCUGUAGUUUAUUGUGGUGGAUAGAAACAUAGAGAGAUCAGUGUUUAUCUAUCUCGCAUGAAAUUUCUAGGUGCAGUUGGAAUGGUAGCAAGGAGCAAAUUACCUCAUCGCGAGGAUUGUUCCUCACACUCUGGGGAGUCUCUUGUCGCACAGAAGUAGGAAUAGCUGUUUUAGUUGGUGUGGUGCUUGAGGCGAGGCUAGCUUCAAAAGUACGAGGAGGCAAUGAGGAUAGAGUUAAGGGAGGACUUUUUCGAGGACUGUUCUUGUGGCGCACUAGGGACAGUCCCAAAAGUCCUCGCCGUGGUUCGGGUUUUUUAAUGUCUAGUUUGAAAAGAUCCGGUGUGUCAUUUAGAUGUUUUCAUAGAUUAUGAUUGAUUUUUAGACAUCGGGCAUAGUUCGGAGGUGGGGUGAGGGCGGGAGGGUAACGUUCUAACGAUUGAGUCUAUGAUAAAUAGAAUAAUUUGAGUUAUCUAAAUACUGGGGCCUGAAAGUACGGAACGCCGUAGUUGUGGCAUAAACCAAACGGCUAGCGAGAGAACAUGGCAAAAUUCGACAAACUACGGUCGUCCUAUGUUUGAUGUAAAGCUGCCGCCGCACUGUGAAUUCUAAAACUAGCUACUCAGUUGGCCCUUUUGCCUUUCUUAUGCUCUGUUCCUUCUGGUUGAGUUCCCCUUCACUCAUUCAUACCUGACUUGCCCUGUUCUCAACUUCCCAUAGAAGCAAAAAUUGAGGGUCGCUACCAUUUCGUUCGAAGUGAUCGCUCACGAAUGCUACAGAUAUCAAGUUACAAAAGUUAAGCUUAUGGCUCCCACCUCAACAGUCGAUGGGUUAAAAGGUUUGAUUUGUUCUAUUCCAUUUUUUGUCAACCUUACGCGCCAAUACGGUUAGAAGAGAUCCAAUUGCAGAACCAUAGACUCGAAGAAAUUUAACCUCAAGUUCAUUGCAUAUUUGCAUUAACUAAUGCCUGUACAACUUAACUGGCAUAUCAUGUAUACAUGGGUCAGACUAUCGUCUAUCUCAACCUCAAGCAUUGCCCGGUGGACUCAUGGAACUUCACUACCGCCAUGGAAUACUCCCAUGGGAUUAACAGAUUACAGAUGGGUAGAACUCAAAUCGAAUUUAAAAUCGCACGCUGUAUCAUGGAUUCACUUUUAGUUUUUGGACCGUCGAAAGCGUCCAGGAAUUUGGACACCAGACAGCUGGCA
rnacentral:lncRNA from 1 species